AGCAGAGUGGCGCAGCGGGAGCAUUGGGCCCAUAACCCAGAGGUUGAUGGAUCGAAACCAUUCUCUGCUA
rnacentral:tRNA from 1 species